rnacentral:sRNA from 1 species
CCCCGAUGGCCUAGCACAGUGGUGCUGUU